GUAGUCGUGGCCGAGUGGUUAAGGCGACAGACUUGAAAUCUGUUGGGAUAUUCCCGCGCAGGUUCGAAUCCUGCCGACUACG
rnacentral:tRNA from 1 species